AACGAACGCUGGCGGCAGGCUUAACACAUGCAAGUCGAGCGCCCCGCAAGGGGAGCGGCAGACGGGUGAGUAACGCGUGGGAAUCUCCCCAUCUCUACGGAAUAACGCAUGGAAACGGGUGCUAAGACCGCAUACGUCCUUCGGGAGAAAGAUUUAUCGGAGAUGGAUGAGCCCGCGUUGGAUUAGCUAGAUGGUGGGGUAAAGGCCUGCCAAGGCGACGAUCCAUAGCUGGUCUGAGAGGAUGAUCAGCCACACUGGGACUGAGACACGGCCCAGACUCCUACGGGAGGCAGCAGUGGGGAAUAUUGGACAAUGGGCGCAAGCCUGAUCCAGCCAUGCCGCGUGAGUGAUGAAGGCCCUAGGGUUGUAAAGCUCUUUCACCGGUGAAGAUAAUGACGGUAACCGGAGAAGAAGCCCCGGCUAACUUCGUGCCAGCCGCCGCAGUAAUAC
rnacentral:rRNA from 1 species